rnacentral:rRNA from 1 species
AGAGUUUGAUCCUGGCUCAGAUUGAACGCUGGCGGCAGGCUUAACACAUGCAAGUCGAGCGGAAACGAGAAUAGCUUGCUAUUCGGCGUCGAGCGGCGGACGGGUGAGUAAUGCUUGGGAACAUGCCUUGAGGUGGGGGACAACAGUUGGAAACGACUGCUAAUACCGCAUAAUGUCUUCGGACCAAAGGAGGGGAUCUUCGGACCUUUCGCCUUUAGAGUGGCCCAAGUGAGAUUAGCUAGUUGGUGGGGUAAAGGCUCACCAAGGCGACGAUCUCUAGCUGGUUUGAGAGGAUGAUCAGCCACACUGAGACUGAGACACGGCCCAGACUCCUACGGGAGGCAGCAGUGGGGAAUAUUGCACAAUGGGGGAAACCCUGAUGCAGCCAUGCCGCGUGUGUGAAGAGGGCCUUCGGGUUGUAAAGCACUUUCAGUCGUGAGGAAAGGUUUGUAGCUAAUAUCUGCAAGCUGUGACGUUAGCGACAGAAGAAGCACCGGCUAACUCCGUGCCAGCAGCCGCGGUAAUACGGAGGGUGCGAGCGUUAAUCGGAAUUACUGGGCGUAAAGCGUGCGUAGGCGGUUUCUUAAGCGAGAUGUGAAAUCCCGGGGCUCAACCUCGGAACUGCAUUUCGAACUGGGUGACUAGAGUACUGUAGAGGGUGGUGGAAUUUCCAGUGUAGCGGUGAAAUGCGUAGAGAUUGGAAAGGAACAUCAGUGGCGAA